rnacentral:tRNA from 1 species
GGUUCUAGCUCAGUGGCAGAGUGCUUGCCUAGCAUGUGUGAGGUACUGGGUUCAAUCCUCAGCACCA